rnacentral:rRNA from 1 species
CCUACGGGUGGCAGCAGUGGGGAAUAUUGGACAAUGGGCGAAAGCCUGAUCCAGCCAUGCCGCGUGUGUGAAGAAGGCCUUCGGGUUGUAAAGCACUUUCAGUGGGGAAGAAAGCCUUGGGGCUAAUACCCUCGAGGAAGGACAUCACCCACAGAAGAAGCACCGGCUAACUCCGUGCCAGCAGCCGCGGUAAUACGGAGGGUGCGAGCGUUAAUCGGAAUUACUGGGCGUAAAGCGCGCGUAGGCGGUCUGAUAAGCCGGUUGUGAAAGCCCCGGGCUCAACCUGGGAACGGCAUCCGGAACUGUCAGGCUAGAGUGCAGGAGAGGAAGGUAGAAUUCCCGGUGUAGCAGUGAAAUGCGUAGAGAUCGGGAGGAAUACCAGUGGCGAAGGCGGCCUUCUGGACUGACACUGACGCUGAGGUGCGAAAGCGUGGGUAGCAAACAGGAUUAGAUACCCUUGUAGUC